rnacentral:rRNA from 16 species
UUAGAAGCAGCCAUCCUUUAAAGAUAGCGUAACAGCUCACUGGUCUAAACAAGUUGUCCUGCGGCGAAGAUGUAACGGGGCUCAAGCCAUGAGCCGAAGCUUAGGAUGCACAUAGUGCAUGGUAGCAGAGCGUAGUGUGACAUAGGACUCAUUCUCUUCUAUCGCAUCGAUGCGAACAGUGCGGGCAACCGCGCUCAAGUAGCGAAGCGGUAGCGCAGGAAGAGUCUUUUCUGUGAAGCCGGCGCGUGAGCGAUCCGGUGGAGAGAUCACUAGCGAGAAUGAUGACAUGAGUAGCGACAAAGAGUGUGAGAGACACUCUCGCCGAAAGUCCAAGGGUUCCUGCUUAAAGCUAAUCUGAGCAGGGUAAGCCGGCCCCUAAGCCGAGGCCGAAAGGCGUAGGCGAUGGGAACCACGUUAAUAUUCGUGGGCCAGAUGGAAGUGACGGAUUGCGAAGGUUGUUCCUCCUUAUCGGAUUGGAGGGGCCGCUCAGCAGUUCCUGGAAAUAGCUCCAUCAUCAGACCGUACCCUAAACCGACACAGGUGGACUGGUAGAGAAUACCAAGGCGCUUGAGAGAACUGCGUUGAAGGAACUCGGCAAAUUGCACGCGUAACUUCGGAAGAAGCGUGACCCUCACUCACGCAAGUGGAUGAGGGUGGCACAGACCAGGGGGUAGCGACUGUUUAUCAAAAACACAGGG